rnacentral:rRNA from 1 species
AUAUUGCUCAAUGGGGGAAACCCUGAUGCAGCGACGCCGCGUGGAGGAAGAAGGUCUUCGGAUUGUAAACUCCUGUCCCAGGGGACGAUAAUGACGGUACCCUGGGAGGAAGCACCGGCUAACUACGUGCCAGCAGCCGCGGUAAAACGUAGGGUGCAAGCGUUGUCCGGAAUUACUGGGUGUAAAGGGAGCGCAGGCGGAUUGGCAAGUUGGGAGUGAAAUCUAUGGGCUCAACCCAUAAAUUGCUUUCAAAACUGUCAGUCUUGAGUGGUGUAGAGGUAGGCGGAAUUCCCGGUGUAGCGGUGGAAUGCGUAGAUAUCGGGAGGAACACCAGUGGCGAAGGCGGCCUACUGGGCACUAACUGACGCUGAGGCUCGAAAGCAUGGGGAGCAAACAG